ACCGGAACUAAAUCUAGGUCCACGCUGUGUUGUCGUGUACAGUUCUCUAUGGGCUAGCCUAAUCUGGAAACCUCUGAAAGAGUCAGUAGAACUCCAACCUUCAAAGUUUUGGUUCUGGAAGAUCUUUUAAAGAGUAUACAGUACCUGUUUUGACAACUGAUGGGGUCACCUUGUGGAUUUUUCCUCUUUUGUUUGGAAUUCCAUCCCAAAAUCAAAUCCACUAAUCCAGGCAAGGAAAUUGGGCGAAAUGAGGAACAACCUCAGUGACAGUGAGAGGCAGCCUUACAGCAACAAAGCUAUUGAGCUGAUGGAGAAAUAUGAGGAGGAAGCUGCAGCCGCCGCAGAAAAAGGUAGAGGAGGAAGAAGACGAAGAGGAGGAGGGGGGAGGAAGACAAACACAUGAGAAACUGUGUAUAAUCCUUGUUUCCAUGUGAAUACCAUAGAGUAGGGAAAACACCAUUCAGAAAAGAAAAAUCUGGUGCCUCUCACUUCAGAUGGUGCCUUACUUGCUCUUUAUUAGGAUUAAUGACGCAAAUUUGGAUUUUGAUCAUGAUACUGUAACCUUUUUGGAAGUAAAUAAAGUAAGUAAAUAUGUAAAAGUGCUCUAGGAAAAUACAAUGAUUUUUCUUUCCAUAACUGGUUUACGUUCAGUAGCUAGGGGCACCUGCCAGUGCCCUGAAACUGUAACAAAGUUGUACAUAUUUCAACAUUUUUAAAACAAAAAGGGAAAAAAUGGAAACAGACGCCCUAGUGUUCUCAACUCCCUGCACUUUCCUGUCAGUAUAACAAGGCAUUUAAAAAUGUUUCAAGCAUCGUAUUUUUUAAUUUGUAAGGUGGUAUUUAACUGUAUGGUUAUUGGCUAGAAAAUCCUGGGUUAUAAACUACGUAUCUAUAGUUUGUAAAAACUAGACAAAUUCUUAUAGUUCUUGCUUUGGUGACCCCUGAGAAGGGAAAAGCUUUAGGAAAAAGUCUCAUUGUUUUCCCUCGGAAAGGGCUGUCUCAAAGCGUGCACUGCGAAGGUAGAUCUAAUUUACACUACAGUGAGCGUACAUUUAGCUUAAAAGUUAUCUUUUUGUAUAUAGUGAAAUAGCAUUCUGCGACCAUUCUUAGUUGUGAAAGAAGGGAUUCCCCCAUUCAGGUGGCAUGAGAAAAAAGAAAUUGUAUGGAAUCUUUUCUCUUUCUUUUAGUUUAAAAUGGGGUAGUUCUUAAACAGAAGCUGUAAGUCUCCUUCAUUGUCAGCUUAAAAGUGAGGAGAGGGUACAGAAAAGUUCAAAAACACCUCUGUACUUAAACAAGAAAAUUUGCAAAAAACGUCAUGUUGUGGGCUUUUGGUAUAUUUAGAAUGCUGAAAUGUUUUUGAAGCAAAAAUAAACAGUAUUACAUUAAAACAAAGACAAAGUUAAAACACCUCAAAGUGGUUUUCCUCUUUCCUUUUUUCUGUUUUGGUUUUUAAAUUUUAAACUUGCAGGAAAGGAUUUGUUUGCUACUAAUCUUUUAAAAACUGUUAUUCAAAUCUUACUAAUACAUUGUAAUAAUAAUACAUUGGUAGCAGAAUUUGAAUGGUUGAAUGUAGCAUUACAUGUAUGUGUAAUAAAAUACAUGGAAUAUAUGUCAAGAGCCAAAUAUAAGACCAAUAGUAAUCUUAAAUAAAUUCUUUAUUU